UACGGAGGAUGCGAGCGUUAUCCGGAUUUAUUGGGUUUAAAGGGUGCGUAGGCGGGCUGUUAAGUCAGCGGUAAAAGCCCGGGGCUCAACCCCGGCGAGCCGUUGAAACUGGCUGUCUUGAGAUGUCGAGAGGUAUGCGGAAUGCGCAGUGUAGCGGUGAAAUGCUUAGAUAUUGCGCAGAACUCCGAUUGCGAAGGCAGCAUACCGGCGGCGAUCUGACGCUGAGGCACGAAAGCGUGGGUAUCGAACAGG
rnacentral:rRNA from 1 species